rnacentral:rRNA from 1 species
GGGGGGGGGGGGGGGGGGGGUGGGGGGGGGGGGGGCGGGCGGGGGGGGGCGGGUUGUGUGGGGUGCGGGGGGGGCGGGCGGGGGAGUAACACGUGAGUAGGCUGCCCUUGGCUUUGGGAUAACUUCAGGCACCUGGGGCGAAUACCGGAUAGGAGCUCCUGCUGCCUGGUGGUGUUUGGAAAGUUUCGGCGGGUGGGGAUGGACUCGCGGCUUAUCAGCUUGUUGGUGUGGUCGUGGCUUCCCAAGGCUUUGACGGGUAGCCGGCCUGAGAGGGGGACCGGCCACAUUGGGACUGAGAUACGGCCCAGACUCCUACGGGAGGCAGCAGUGGGGAAUAUUGCACAAUGGGCGGAAGCCUGAUGCAGCAACGCCGCGUGCGGGAUGACGGCCUUCGGGUUGUAAACCGCUUUCGCCUGUGACGAAGCGUGAGUGACGGUAAUGGGUAAAGAAGCACCGGCUAACUACGUG